rnacentral:rRNA from 1 species
UCGGAUUGCAGGCUGCAACCCGCCUGCAUGAAGUUGGAAUCGCUAGUAAUCGCGGAUCAGCAUGCCGCGGUGAAUACGUUCCCGGGCCUUGUACACACCGCCCGUCACACCAUGAGAGUCGGGAACACCCGAAGUCCGUAGCCUAACCGCAAGGGGGGCGCGGCCGAAGGUGGGUUCGAUAAUUGGGGUGAAGUCGUAACAAGGUACC